UACGUAGGAGACGAGCGUUGUCCGGAAUUACUGGGCGUAAAGCGCGUGUAGGCGGAUGAGCAAGUCUGCUGUGAAAGCUCCUGGCUUAACCGGGAGUGGUCGGUGGAAACUGCUCGUCUGGAGGACGGUAGAGGCUGGUGGAAUUCCCGGUGUAGUGGUGAAAUGCGUAGAGAUCGGGAGGAACACCUGUGGCGAAGGCGGCCAGCUGGGCCGGACCUGACGCUGAGACGCGAAGGCGUGGGGAGCGAACGGG
rnacentral:rRNA from 1 species